rnacentral:rRNA from 1 species
GAUGAACGCUAGCGACAGGCCUAACACAUGCAAGUCGAGGGGCAUCGGGGCGUAGCAAUACGCUGCCGGCGACCGGCGGAUGGGUGAGUAACGCGUAUGCAACCUACCUUCAGCAGGGGGAUAGCCCGUUGAAAGACGGAUUAAUACCCCAUAACACAGGGGCUCCGCAUGGAGAUUAUUGUUAAAGGGAUGCUUCCUUCGGGGAGUAUUCCGGCUGCAGAUGGGCAUGCGUUCCAUUAGGUAGUUGGUUGAGGUAACGGCUCACCAAGCCUACGAUGGAUAGGGGAACUGAGAGGUUGGUCCCCCACACUGGUACUGAGACACGGACCAGACUCCUACGGGAGGCAGCAGUGAGGAAUCUUGGUCAAUGGACGGAAGUCUGAACCAGCCAUGUCGCGUGAAGGAGGACGGCCCUAAGGGUUGUAAACUUCUUUUGCAGGGGGAAUAAAGGUAUUCCACGAGAUGGGAUAUUGCAAGUACGCUGCGAAUAAGGAUCGGCUAACUCCGUCG